rnacentral:lncRNA from 1 species
UUUUAUAGAAGCUUAGAGAAGUUUGAAUUGGAAAAACAUUUACUCAUCAGACUCAUACAAGAGUCAAGACGGCUUUAACUUUAGCCAAAGAUAUCUCCCCAUGGACAUACUCAUAGUGCUCCUCCUUCUCAACGCACACUGCACAUGAGAGAGACACAGAGAUGGACAUUAAUAUUCGAAACAAGGAAUCCAAGGUUAGAGAAAAAAAAGGAAAAAAAAAAGAAGAAGAAGCGCAAAUACAGAUGAUAUAUUAUUUUAUAAAAAAACUAUUGUAGAGAAUUUUUAUAAAAUUUGAUAUUUUGUUGUAUGUAUUUUUUUGGGUUCUCAAUAGACUAUUUUCCUUCAAUACAAAUAAUCAUUAGACUUUACUGAAUCACGCUUUUACCCACCUAUAUAUAUUUGAAAAGAAAAUUUAUCGAUCAAGGCCACAAGCUGCAGAAUUGUUGAAACACAGCAUAGGCAGUGUAAG